CAGGGGGAACAAAGCUGGGCGUGCAUGCCAAUAUCCUUGUCAGCCUUGGAUUCUGGGCCUCCCGUGUCCACAAAGCGCUGGUGUGAGGUUGAGACAGGUGAAGGACAGGCAGAAGCGACUCAGCCUUGCCUCAGAUCCACAGUCUGCACAGGAGGAAGCCUGAAGCACACUGUGGGUGAGGUCAGAUCUUGGCAGAGUAUCCGGAUACCUCACAAAGCCAGCUUCCCCAGCUGGGUCUGGAAUGGGGUCCACAGUGCCCCUCCAAAUAUGGUAGUUACUGGUUUUAACCAAUCUUGGCAACCUCCAGAGCCCGUGCAGCCAAAUCUGUGACUUUGAAAAUGAGAAUCACCUCAACCAGCAUUCUUUCUAAGGCAACGUGUAAAGAGGGUUGGGUGAGUCAGGAAAGCAUCUCUGUGACUGCUGUGAAGUAAAGGAUGGAUCCCAAAAGGAUUGUGAGAGCCCUGGAUCUGCAGCCAAAUCAGACAGAGGGUAAGGACAGCUGGAAACACGGUUUCUUCCCAAAUCUAAAGGAGAAGGCAGUCUGGCAAGACCGAGCUCCUUCUUGUUUGUUUGCAUUUUAUUUUAUUUUAUUUUAUUUUUGCUACUGUUGUUUUUGAGAUAAGGGUCUCAAGUGAUCUAGGCUGGCUUUGAAGUGGUUAUGUGGCCAAGGUUGACUUUGAACUCACGAUAGAGGUAUAGAUACUCUUGACUCCAUUUCCCAAGUGCUUAGAACACAGGUAUGUCCCCAUUCCACUUGGCAAAGCCAAGGUUUACACCUGUGGGAUCUGAUGCUAUCGCCAGGCAGAUGCUGUCAGACCUGAAUUGCAUUGUGGGACAACCAGCUGGUCACAGGAGAGUGAUGAAUGUGAAGAAUCUACAUCUGGUCACAACAGAAUCCUGUGUUGGGAGGCCCAGGGGACAGAAACAGGCAUGGGGUCUCCUACCUCUCAGACACUUGGCUGGUGCUCUCUAGAGACCUGUGGCCGAGCAACAUCUGUCUGGAGACCUUGAAGUCACAUUCCAUCAAAGAUUCUCUAAAACAGUAAGUCCGGUACAGGAGCUACCAGCUGGCAGUCACUUGACACGUGGCCACUGGAUGUGCUAAAAUGUAAAAAGUGCACAUGCUUUGAAGGACACGUGGAAUGAAGCAUUCGAAGCAGCUCCUUAAUAAUUGUUUUUAACAUCCAUUAUGCUAAACUGGCAAUAUUCUUCUUUUACUAGUUAAAUAUAUUGUUUGCAUUAUUCUUAUUGUAAAAUGCAUAUGGCGUAAGCUUA
rnacentral:lncRNA from 1 species